UACGAAGGGGGCUAGCGUUGCUCGGAAUCACUGGGCGUAAAGCGCACGUAGGCGGAUUGUUAAGUCAGGGGUGAAAUCCUGGAGCUCAACUCCAGAACUGCCUUUGAUACUGGCGAUCUCGAGUCCGGGAGAGGUGAGUGGAACUGCGAGUGUAGAGGUGAAAUUCGUAGAUAUUCGGAAGAACACCAGUGGCGAAGGCGACACACUGGCCCGUUACUGACGCUGAGGCGCGAAAGCGUGGGGAGCAAACAGG
rnacentral:rRNA from 1 species